GUACACUCCUGCGGGAGGCAGCAGUGGGGAAUAUUGCACAAUGGGCGCAAGCCUGAUGCAGCCAUGCCGCGUGUAUGAAGAAGGCCUUCGGGUUGUAAAGUACUUUCAGCGGGGAGGAAGGCAAUACGGUUAAUAACCGUGUUGAUUGACGUUACCCGCAGAAGAAGCACCGGCUAACUCCGUGCCAGCAGCCGCGGUAAUACGGAGGGUGCAAGCGUUAAUCGGAAUUACUGGGCGUAAAGCGCACGCAGGCGGUCUGUCAAGUCGGAUGUGAAAUCCCCGGGCUCAACCUGGGAACUGCAUUCGAAACUGGCAGGCUUGAGUCUUGUAGAGGGGGGUAGAAUUCCAGGUGUAGCGGUGAAAUGCGUAGAGAUCUGGAGGAAUACCGGUGGCGAAGGCGGCCCCCUGGACAAAGACUGACGCUCAGGUGCGAAAGCGUGGGGAGCAAACAGGAUUAGAUACCCCUGUAGUCCCAU
rnacentral:rRNA from 1 species